GGUGACCUGGCGGGACCGGCUGUCGCGGGCCGGGUUCGUGGUCUGGGGCGGCUGGCUGCUGGUCACCGGCGGGGUGUUCAGCGCCAUGCAGGGCAUCU
rnacentral:tRNA from 1 species